UAUGCGAAAGAGAGGAACAAUAUGACAAGUGCAACUGUUUAAAGAGUUUUACUACAUCGCUUCCCCUUGUUAUGGUUAGCGUGUUUCGUUUGAUGAAGAGCUAGGAUUACACGAAUCUCUAUCGACAAAAAAGCGUUCGCUUAUGAUUACAAUAACAGUUCCGUACAUUUGUCAAAUUAUCAUACAGUUAAAUAUAAAAGCCAAUAACUCAAUCAAAAACAUCCGUGACAAAUGUCAACGCGCGCAUUUAUAAUUCUUAAGUUACACAAACAAUGGAGGUUAGUUGGCGCUAGCUGUAAUUAUGAUAACAAUACAUGUUAGUUGAACGUGUGGCUAUUUUAUGUUUACGAGUGAGGGUAUGACUAUAUUUUGGAUACAGAUUGUGUUUUGACAUCGCGCCAGUUGUUGCCAUUUAUUUAGUCAUUACACGACACACACGUACCCACACACGUUCUAUGGUAGAACGCUAGUAGAUAUUUAUACCGGCUGACAAUAUUGUUGUAUACCCAAGUACGUUAAAUACUGGAUGAAAAUGACGCGAGUGGUUAAUUUGCAUUAUAAGUGUCCUUGUUAUUGCUAUGCCCGUUAUUAUUAUCGGGUUAUAAAUUAGAGAAUCGCUGAAGGCGAGGAUCAUUAUUGUCAUUGUCGCGGUACUAUUGUUUUUCAUUGGGUAAUUCUUGUCAUUGUAUUUACUGGAGCAUCGCAAUGUGGCCCUUGUACAUAAAAAAGGGAAAAAAGAUAGAAGCAUGUAAUGAUCUGUUGGCGAUUGCAAGUACAAAGCACCGCCAUGCAACGUCGGUAGAUACUGUUGGUACUGAAGCUGUUGAGUACCACAAGUCGCGGUCUCGCUUCUUCGGUUGCGGUCUCAACUCGGUCUUCGGUUUAAACUUGCUUAGUACAGUACAAUCUCAUACGUUUCAUCCUUUCUCUAUUUACCACCAGACAUCACUAUAAUUCCGUCUCUCAGUACAUGUCAUGUCUACGUACUCGUCAUCGUCUCCUGCUACUUUGAGGCCUCAUACUUUGACCGGCGGUCUUGCCGCGGGACGUUUGAUCUUUGUAAGCCUUGCCCUCUGGGAUAAAAAAAUUUCAUGGGAGUUGAUUCUGCUUUAAAUGCUCUUUGUAUUUGCAAUAUUGAGUAAAUAAAUUAAUGACUGAAUUA